GCAGGUGAGGCCGAUGCCAUCACUCGUGAUGGAGGAGCCAAGACCGAGCUUAGCCACGAAAAAUACUAUUCAAUUUGUUGAUUUGGUUUAGGCAGCUGCGAUGGAUAGUGGGGAGAUGUUCACUGCUGGAAAAUGUGGUCUGGUCCCUGCCAAGGUGGAACAGUAUGACGCAGGUCUGCGCAGCUUCCCUGGUGAGGUGUCAUCGUACAAUGUGGUGGCGGUAGUGAGGAAGGACUCUGGAUCUGUUUUGUUACAUCCCUUACCCAGCUCAACUGUUACCUUCUCAAAAUGUUCAACGGCUUCUCCGGUCAGUGCUCACUACCUGUAUAUCGAUGGGCGGUGGUGGACAGAACCCCUAGAUAACGUUAUAGUUCUGAAAACUCAGCUCACACAUAACUGGUUGGGGUAUUCAUUCAGACACGCACCUCUUUCACACUGGAGCUAGUCCCCUGACAGCUCUCAUUCACUCAGUAGUUAAUAGUGAUAAUAUCUCUUAUCUAAAUCCUCUUAUUAUCCAAAUUUCAAUCCUCAGCGUAUUAUCCACAUUUCAAAUCAGCUUAACAUGUCCUUUCCACACUCACCCAGCUCUCACAUCCCCAUUCACUUAGUACUAUUCCCAAACGCACUCAGUAAUCUUCCUUAUUACCAUCUCUGUGCAUUUUCAACGAUUCUUGUCGUUACUUGCUAUACAUAUAAAAUAACAUCACGUGCUCAAUAACACCUUGUGCUAUUUGUAGUGGCUGCAGACCACGUAGACACUUCAAUAAAGGCCUACAGACAGCUGUCAGCGGGACUUUCCAUGGUACCGUUACUCGCCCUCGCUCUAGUCUUCUCACCAUAAGACUAGUUAAUAGCCUUCUCACCAUGAGACUAGUUAAUAGCCUUCUCAUUAGACUAUGGGUACCUUUUAUUGUUCAAUUUAGUUGGUUUUAUGAUAUACAGUACCAGUAGAAAGUUUGGACACACCUACUCCUUCAAGGGUUUUUCUUUAUCUUGACUAUUUUCUACAUGAGGCUGGUAACUCUAAUGAACUUCUGCAGCAGAGCUAACCCUGCGUCUUCAUUUCCUGUGGCGGCCCUCAUGAGAGCCUGUUUCAUCCUAGCGCUUGAUUGUUUUUGAGACUGCUUUUGAAGAAACUUUCAAAGUUCUUGAAAUGUUCCACAUUGAAUGACCUUCAUAUGUCUUGAAGUAAUGGACUGAUGUUUCUCUUUGCUUAUUUGAGCUGUUCUUACCAAAUAGGGCCAUUUUCUGUAUACCAUCCCCACCUUCUCACAACACAACUGAUUGGCUCAAACGCAUUGAGGAAAGAAAUUAUACAAAUUAACUUUUAACAGGCACACCUGUUAAUUGAAAUGGUUUCCAGGUGACUACCUCAUGAAGCUGGUUGAGAGAAUGCCAAGAGUGUGCAAAGCUGUCGUCAAGGCAAAGGGUGGCUGUAAAGUAGACACUGGGAGUCAAGAAGCAGCUGGUACGUUUAAUAUAACAAGUACCAUGGACCAAUACAACAUAGGAGUAGAGUCUAGACAAGAACAACAGAAAAAUGACUGCCUGGGAAAGGAACCUAAGGGAGUGCCAGAUAAAGGGGAGGUAAUGGAGUCCAGGUGUGCUUAAUGAUGAAGCGCAGGUGCACGUAAUGAUGAAAGCCAGGUGCGCGUAAGGAUUGGUCCCAGGACCCGAGGUUAGUAAACCAGCGGCGUCAAACGUCGGCGGGUAGGAGCGGGAGUACACAUGACAGUGGCUGCUUUGAAGAAUCGCAAAUAUAUUUGUUUAACACAUUUUUGGUCACUACAUGAUUCCAUGUGUUUUAUUUCAUAGUUUUUAUGUCUUCACUAUUAUUCUACAAUAAUCAAAAUAAUGAAAAACCCUGGAAUAAGUAGGUGUCAACUUUUGACUGGUACUGGAUAUUUAUCAAGUAAUAUAUUUUGUCAGACAUGGUACCCAGCUAUGGUUUCUCAAUAUUUAGUCUAUUGCCAUGAUUCAUUUAAUUUUACACAUUUGUGACCAAAUAAAUACUCAUAACAAAAUGCACAUUUAAAGUUGUCCUAACUAGGGAUGCUUCUACAUUAAUAUCGUAAUAAUUUUUUUACCUUGGUUUCAUCUGGCUGUGAACACAUUGGACAAUAUUGCAUACAGAGUCAUUGUGCCUUGAUGUUUUUCAACUACUGCCAACCUCACUUGGAUCCAUUGUAACAUUUGCCACCCACCCAACUGUCCACUGGCCUGUACAGGAAACUACAUCCCCUCCAAGGUUCUUCUCUCCUGGCUGUCAUACUGGUUAUACAGCCUCCGCUGCCUUGCUGUUUUGAUGGGCCCCUGCAUUUCAUCGCAUUGAGUAAGUCACCGCCCUCUCCUUGCGGUUAUGCUGGUGAGUUUGUGUGUCCUAGUGCUGGCUGGAUUCUAGUCUGUGGUUUUGUCCUGCCUUGCUGCCAAUAACUGUGGUGAGCCUACAAACUGAGAUUCAAUCUAACUGUCACACUGUGUGCAUUGAUUGACUUGUCUGAUUCCUCGCCAACUUAUUUUAUUUACGUGGAUUUUAACAGAAAAAUAAAAAUGCUGUCUACCAAUUUCCACCAUAAUGUCACGUUGUGUAAUGAUCGGAGACAAGUUUUUUUUUAUUACUCCACCCAAAAAUACAUGUCAUGGAAAAGGCAUGGGGACGAAGCCCAAAACGCGUAUAUAUAAUACACAGGAAUGUAUCCCCCAAAAAAGAGUGAGGUUUAAACCUCUAAUAAUUGCACGGGACGAGACCCAUAAUAACGAGUACACAAUACACUCAGCACGAAAGCCGAAACAAAGCACAGGUACUCACAAGACCAACGGACAUGGGAACAAUAACCGACAAUGGGGAACAGAGGGUACGUAUAUAACAUACUAAUCAGGGGGGAAUGGGAAUCAGCUGUGCAUAAUGAGACAAGACAGCCCGGGGAUGGUGGUAAUGAAUCCAGCUCAGUGAGGCCUAGAAAGCCGGUGAAAGAAGGACCUCCAGAGAUGGUGAAUGGAAUGAGCAGCAGUACAGGGAUCCGUGACACAUAAGGUGAAACUUCUUCCAGAUUGGCAGCAAUGUGUCCUCUGUCCUCCAUCUCUCGUUGGUCCUCAAGGAGGCUCAGAAAAGGCCAUCCAUCACCAUUGGUAGUUCCAUGGUGAGCCACAUCUUGGUCCCUGGAGCAAAUACCCUGUGCAACCCGGGGGCUACGGUGAAGGAUAUCACAGUGCUUUUAGUUCAAGUUUCAAGUUUUAAUGUCAUAUGCACAAGUACAGUGAAAUGCAUUUCUUGCGAACUCAAAACCCAACAAUUCCAUAAUCAAUAACAAUGUAAUACUAGGGAAAAUAACAUGAGAAAUAUGAAGAAAUAUGAAGAACAUAGUAAGUAAGCAUACCGGUACUAUAUACAGGGUCAGUUCCAAAACCAUAUUUACAGUGUGCAGGGAUACUGGAGUGACAGAGGUAGUGAUGUAAGGGGUUUUAAGGUGACUAGGCAACAGGAUAUAAGAUAAACAGAGUACCAGCAGCUUGUAUGUGAGUGGGUGUGUGUAGAGUCAGUAUACAUGUAUGUGCAUAUAAUGUGUGAGUAAGCAGAUGAUGGUGUGAGGUUGUGUGUAUGAGUGUGUAGGGCCCUAUGAGUGUGCAUAGACACAGUGCAAAAUCAAUAAAGAUACAAGAUUACCUCAGUCCAUGUAGCUAUUUUUGUAGCUAUUUAUCAGUCUUAUUGCUUGGGGAUAGAAGCUGUUCAAGAGUCUGUUGGUGCCAGGCUUGAUGCAUGGGUACCGCUUGCCGUGCAGAAGCAGAGGGAGUAGUCUAUGGCGUGGGUGGUUAGUCUUUAAUGAUUUUUCGGGCCAUUCUACCACACCGCCUGAUAUAAAUGUCCUGGAUGGCAGGGAGCUCGGCCCCAGUGAUGUACUGUGCUGUCCACACCACCAUCUGUAGCGCCAUGCGAUCCAGAGCGGUGCUAUUACAAUACCAGGCAGUGAUGCAGAAAGUCAAAAUUCUCUCAAUGGUACAGCUGUCAAACUUUUUGAGGAUUUGAGGGCCAAUGCCAAUCAAUGUCAACCUCCUGAGGAGGAAGAGGCACUGUUGUGCCUUCUUCACGACUGUGCGCCUGUGUUUGGACCCAUUUAAGUAUUUUUUGAUUUGGACACCGAGGAACUUGAAGCUUUUGACCUGUCGAUGUGGAUGGGGGCGUGCUCUCCCCCUGUUUCCUGUAGUCCACGAUCAGCUCCUUGCUCUUACUAAUGUUGAGGGAGAGGUUGUGAAUUCCAAAACCCCCUCGGAUUUCAAAUCACGUAGAUGGAUUGGGCUGUUGCACGAUAGCA
rnacentral:lncRNA from 13 species